rnacentral:rRNA from 1 species
CCUACGGGAGGCAGCAGUAAGGAAUAUUGGUCAAUGGAGGAAACUCUGAACCAGCCAUGCCGCGUGCAGGAUGACUGCCCUAUGGGUUGUAAACUGCUUUUAUACGGGAAGAAACCCCGCUACGUGUAGCGGGUUGACGGUACUGUAAGAAUAAGGACCGGCUAACUUCGUGCCAGCAGCCGCGGUAAUACGAAGGGUCCAAGCGUUAUCCGGAUUUAUUGGGUUUAAAGGGUGCGUAGGCGGCUUUUUAAGUCAGUGGUGAAAGCCUGAUGCUCAACAUCAGAACUGCCAUUGAUACUGAAGAGCUUGAGUACAGUUGAGGUUGGCGGAAUGUGUCAUGUAGCGGUGAAAUGCUUAGAUAUGACACAGAACACCGAUUGCGAAGGCAGCUAGCUAAGCUGUAACUGACGCUGAUGCACGAAAGCGUGGGGAGCAAACAGGAUUAGAUACCCUGGUAGUCCACGCCCUAAACGUUGAUAACUCGCUGUUGGCGAUAUACUGCCAGCGGCCAAGCGAAAGCAUUAAGUUAUCCACCUGGGAAGUACGGUCGCAAGAUUGAAACUCAAAUGAAUUGACGG